rnacentral:ncRNA from 1 species
AAAAAAACGUUGAUGAAGAAAAGUAAUAUUAAGAUUCCUUAAAAGAGAGUCCUAGAUGGUGAGAAUGGAUACUGAUAUUAAUAUGAAAGAACACUUCGGAGUUCUUUUUCUGAAAUAAUAGUAGGAAAAAGCGCGAGGAAAAAGAUGCGUUAUUCUUUAAUGAGUGAUCAUAGAAAUAUGAUAAACUGGGUGGUACCACGGAUAUAACAGUUAUUCGUCCCUUUA